rnacentral:rRNA from 1 species
UACGGAGGGGGCUAGCGUUGUUCGGAAUUACUGGGCGUAAAGCGCGCGUAGGCGGCUUUGUAAGUUAGAGGUGAAAGCCCGGAGCUCAACUCCGGAAUUGCCUUUAAGACUGCAUCGCUAGAAUCAUGGAGAGGUGAGUGGAAAUUCCGAGUGUAGAGGUGAAAUUCGUAGAUAUUCGGAAGAACACCAGUGGCGAAGGCGACUCACUGGACAUGUAUUGACGCUGAGGUGCGAAAGCGUGGGGAGCAAACAGG